CCCUAGCUGGUCUGAGAGGAUGACCAGCCACACUGGAACUGAGACACGGUCCAGACUCCUACGGGAGGCAGCAGUGGGGAAUAUUGCACAAUGGGCGCAAGCCUGAUGCAGCCAUGCCGCGUGUAUGAAGAAGGCCUUCGGGUUGUAAAGUACUUUCAGCGGGGAGGAAGGGAGUAAAGUUAAUACCUUUGCUCAUUGACGUUACCCGCAGAAGAAGCACCGGCUAACUCCGUGCCAGCAGCCGCGGUAAUACGGAGGGUGCAAGCGUUAAUCGGAAUUACUGGGCGUAAAGCGCACGCAGGCGGUUUGUUAAGUCAGAUGUGAAAUCCCCGGGCUCAACCUGGGAACUGCAUCUGAUACUGGCAAGCUUGAGUCUCGUAGAGGGGGGUAGAAUUCCAGGUGUAGCGGUGAAAUGCGUAGAGAUCUGGAGGAAUACCGGUGGCGAAGGCGGCCCCCUGGACGA
rnacentral:rRNA from 1 species